rnacentral:rRNA from 1 species
UGGGGAAUAUUGGGCAAUGGGCGAAAGCCUGACCCAGCAACGCCGCGUGAGGGAAGAAGGUUUUCGGAUUGUAAACCUCUGUCCUAAGGGACGAAGGAAGUGACGGUACCUUAGGAGGAAGCCCCGGCUAACUACGUGCCAGCAGCCGCGGUAAUACGUAGGGGGCGAGCGUUGUCCGGAAUGACUGGGCGUAAAGGGCGUGUAGGCGGCAGUAUAAGUCCGGAGUGAAAGUUCUGCUUUCAAGGUGGGAAUUGCUUUGGAGACUGUACAGCUUGAGUGCGGAAGAGGUAAGUGGAAUUCCCAGUGUAGCGGUGAAAUGCGUAGAGAUUGGGAGGAACACCAGUGGCGAAGGCGACUUACUGGGCCGUAACUGACGCUGAGGCGCGAAAGCGUGGGGAGCGAACAGGAUUAGAUACCCUGGUAGUCCACGCGGUAAACGAUGAAUGCUAGGUGUAGGGGGUAUCGACCCCUUCUGUGCCGGAGUAAACACAAUAAGCAUUCCGCCUGGGGAGUACGGCCGCAAGGUUGAAACUCAAAGGAAUUGACGGGGGCCCGCACAAGCAGCGGAGCAUGUGGUUUAAUUCGACGCAACGCGAAGAACCUUACCAGGUCUUGACAUCGAUCCAAAGCUACAGAGAUGUAGUGAGACUUCGGUCAGGAGAAGACAGGUGGUGCAUGGUUGUCGUCAGCUCGUGUCGUGAGAUGUUGGGUUAAGUCCCGCAACGAGCGCAACCCUUAUUGUCAGUUACUAACGGGUAAGGCCGAGGACUCUGACGAGACUGCCGGGGACAACUCGGAGGAAGGUGGGGACGACGUCAAAUCAUCAUGCCCCUUAUGACCUGGGCUACACACGUGCUACAAUGGUGGUAACAAAGAGGAGCGAGCCCGUAAGGGUAAGCGGAUCUCAAAAAAGCCAUCUCAGUUCGGAUUGUGGGCUGCAACCCGCCCACAUGAAGUUGGAGUUGCUAGUAAUCGCGAAUCAGCAUGUCGCGGUGAAUACGUUCCC